rnacentral:lncRNA from 1 species
AAUCUGUGUUGUUGUGGCUCAGCCUGAUCUAGUUGAGCAAAAAUUCCCCAGUAGCAACCACUUUAGAGAUUUUGCCAAUCACUUCUUUUGUUCUGCCAAUGCAGCAUUGAUGUCGUCCGUCGUCAGUUUGCCACCUGCGCCCCCACUGUGAUCUUCAACAGUGCCUCAAAGAACCUCCUGUGAUCCAGAGUAGCGGCACCACCACUUGCUGAGACAUUUGGCAUGGAAUAACACUGGAAACAGAGGUAAUGUCAACAAAGAGCUUCGAUCGAGAAGAGCUUCACAGUACCUGAGUGUUGAGGUACUCUUUGGGGUAACCAGCACCA